rnacentral:rRNA from 1 species
GGCAUCACUGGACUGAGNCNNNNCCNGACUCCCUACCGNANGUCAGCAGUGGGCANNUNGCNCAAUNGGCNCAAGCUUNAUGCAGCGACGCCGNNUGAGGGAUGACGGCUUNNNNUGUAACCUCUUUCAGUAGGANGAAGCGAAAGUGACGGUACCUGCAGAAGAAGCCCGGCUAACUACGUGNCAGCAGCGCGGUAAUACGUAGGGCGCAAGCGUUAUCCGGAAUUAUUGGGCGUAAAGAGCUCGUAGGCGGUUUGUCGCGUCUGCCGUGAAAGUCCGGGGCUCAACUCNGGAUCUGCGGUGGGUACGGGCAGACUAGAGUGAUGUAGGGGAGACUGGAAUUCCUGGUGUAGCGGUGAAAUGCGCAGAUAUCAGGAGGAACACCGAUGGCGAAGGCAGGUCUCUGGGCAUUAACUGACGSUGAGGAGYGAAAGCAUGGGGAGCGAACAGGAUUAGAUACCCUGGUAGUCCAUNCCGUAAACGUUGGGCACUAGGUGUGGGGGACAUUCCANGUUUUCCGCGCCGUAGCUAACGCAUUAAGUGCCCCNCCUGGGGAGUACGGCCGCAAGGCUAAAACUCAAAGGAAUUGACGGGGGCCCGCACAAGCGGCGGAGCAUGCGGAUUAAUUCGAUGCAACGCGAAGAACCUUACCAAGGCUUGACAUGGGCCGGACCGGGCUGGAAACAGUCCUUCCCCUUUGGGGCCGGUUCACAGGUGGUGCAUGGUUGUCGUCAGCUCGUGUCGUGAGAUGUUGGGUUAAGUCCCGCAACGAGCGCAACCCUCGUUCCAUGUUGCCAGCGCGUAAUGGCGGGGACUCAUGGGAGACUGCCGGGGUCAACUCGGAGGAAGGUGGGGACGACGUCAAAUCAUCAUGCCCCUUAUGUCUUGGGCUUCACGCAUGCUACAAUGGCCGGUACAAAGGGUUGCGAUACUGUGAGGUGGAGCUAAUCCCAAAAAGCCGGUCUCAGUUCGGAUUGGGGUCUGCAACUCGACCCCAUGAAGUCGGAGUCGCUAGUAAUCGCAGAUCAGCAACGCUGCGGUGAAUACGUUCCCGGGCCUUGUACACACCGCCCGUCAAGUCACGAAAGUUGGUAACACCCGAAGCCGGUGGCCUAACCCCUUUGGGAGGGAGCNUCGU